rnacentral:rRNA from 1 species
ACCAUGCAGUCGAACGGCAGCGCGGGGGCAACCCUGGCGGCGAGUGGCGAACGGGUGAGUAAUACAUCGGAACGUGUCCUGGAGUGGGGGAUAGCCCGGCGAAAGCCGGAUUAAUACCGCAUACGAUCCACGGAUGAAAGCGGGGGACCGAAAGGCCUCGCGCUCAAGGAGCGGCCGAUGGCGGAUUAGCUAGUUGGUGGGGUAAAGGCCCACCAAGGCGACGAUCCGUAGCUGGUCUGAGAGGACGACCAGCCACACUGGGACUGAGACACGGCCCAGACUCCUACGGGAGGCAGCAGUGGGGAAUUUUGGACAAUGGGCGAAAGCCUGAUCCAGCAAUGCCGCGUGUGUGAAGAAGGCCUUCGGGUUGUAAAGCACUUUUGUCCGGAAAGAAAACUUCGCCUCUAAUACAGGUGGAGGAUGACGGUACCGGAAGAAUAAGCACCGGCUAACUACGUGCCAGCAGCCGCGGUAAUACGUAGGGUGCAAGCGUUAAUCGGAAUUACUGGGCGUAAAGCGUGCGCAGGCGGUGAUGUAAGACCGAUGUGAAAUCCCCGGGCUUAACCUGGGAACUGCAUUGGUGACUGCAUUGCUAGAGUAUGGCAGAGGGGGGUGGAAUUCCACGUGUAGCAGUGAAAUGCGUAGAGAUGUGGAGGAACACCGAUGGCGAAGGCAGCCCCCUGGGCCAAUACUGACGCUCAUGCACGAAAGCGUGGGGAGCAAACAGGAUUAGAUACCCUGGUAGUCCACGCCCUAAACGAUGUCAACUGGUUGUUGGGGAUUCAUUUCCUUAGUAACGAAGCUAACGCGUGAAGUUGACCGCCUGGGGAGUACGGUCGCAGAUAAUAG